CAGCUUUUAAAAAAGGCGGCGUAAGCUGUCGCUAUGGGAUCGGCCCCGCGGUGCAUUAGCUAGUUGGUAAGGUAAAGGCUUACCAAGGCGAUGAUGCAUAGCCCGAGUUGAGAGACUGAUCGGGCCACAGUUGGGGACCGAGACACGGGGCCCAAACUCCUACGGGGGGAGGGGCAGCAGUAGGGGGAAUCUUCCACAAUGGACGCAAGUCUGAUGGAGCAACGCCGCGUGAGUGAAGUAAGGUUUUCGGAUACGUAAAGCUCUGUUGUUGGUGAAGAAGGAUAGAGGUAGUAACUGGUCCUUUAUUUGACGGUAAUCAACCAGAAAGUCACGGCUAACUACGUGCCAGCAGCCGCGGUAAU
rnacentral:rRNA from 1 species